rnacentral:lncRNA from 1 species
CAAAUAUCAUAUAAAGAUUCGAAGAUAUAAAGGAAUGUUGUAAUAACCUGCUGUAACCACUGCUUAUCUUCAGAAUCUUGGACACGUAUCGGGGUAAAGCAAGGACGAUAUUACUGAUUAGCUCCGUGCAAAGUUAAGCGGGUGGUGGUUAAAAGGGAACAACUUCAACCUAUGACUAGCUUCAAAAUCUUAAAUACGCACACGAUUAUGUGUUGGGGUACAUGUAAUACAUGGACAACUUCUUCAAGCGCCCUGACCUGUGACAUGAACGAACGUGUUGCAGGGUUAAAAGAGAACCAAGCGAAGACAUCCACCGACUAACUUCGUGACCUUGAAAACCCAAAUAGUUUGUUUACAGACAUUUGUUUAUGAUAGAGAUCUAUUUUAACAUACGAGAUGUUUCCCGGUGUAUUAUU